rfam:Frankia sp. ETN1h contig_21, whole genome shotgun sequence.
GCUCCGUUGGAGUAAGAAGGUCAACUCGCCGGACUCUCAAUCCGGAGACUGCGGGUUCAAGUCCCGCACGGAGCA